UACGAGGGGAGCUAGCGUUGUUCGGAAUUACUGGGCGUAAAGGGCGUGUAGGCGGUACCAUAAGUCAGAUGUGAAAGCCCUGGGCUUAACCUAGGAUGUGCAUUUGAUACUGUGGAACUAGAGAUCGGGAGAGGAAAGCGGAAUUACGAGUGUAGAGGUGAAAUUCGUAGAUAUUCGUAAGAACACCAGUGGCGAAGGCGGCUUUCUGGCCCGAUACUGACGCUAAGGCGCGAAAGCGUGGGGAGCAAACAGG
rnacentral:rRNA from 1 species